GAACGCCCCGCAAGGGGAGUGGCAGACGGGUGAGUAACACGUGGGAACGUACCCUUUGGUUCGGAACAACUCAGGGAAACUUGAGCUAAUACCGGAUAAGUGCGAGAGCAGAAAGAUUUAUCGCCGAAGGAUCGGCCCGCGUCUGAUUAGCUUGUUGGUGAGGUAACGGCUCACCAAGGCGACGAUCAGUAGCUGGUCUGAGAGGAUGAUCAGCCACAUUGGGACUGAGACACGGCCCAAACUCCUACGGGAGGCAGCAGUGGGGAAUAUUGGACAAUGGGCGCAAGCCUGAUCCAGCCAUGCCGCGUGAGUGAUGACGGCCUUAGGGUUGUAAAGCUCUUUUACCUGGGAAGAUAAUGACGGUACCAGGAGAAUAAGCCCCGGCUAACUUCGUG
rnacentral:rRNA from 1 species